UGGUAGAUGCACCCUGAUAACUCAUUCCCCUGGUUGGUUCACUCUGGCUGGGGGAUUUUUUU
rnacentral:sRNA from 1 species